rnacentral:rRNA from 1 species
AGGAAUCUGCCCUAUAGCGGGGGAUAACUCGAGGAAACUCGAGCUAAUACCGCAUAAUAUCUUCGGAUUAAAGCUGGGUUUACCUGGCACUAUAGGAGGAGCCUGCGUCUGAUUAGCUAGUUGGUGGGGUAAAGGCCUACCAAGGCGACGAUCAGUAGGUGGUCUGAGAGGAUGAUCACCCACACUGGGACUGAGACACGGCCCAGACUCCUACGGGAGGCAGCAGUGGGGAAUAUUGGACAAUGGGGGCAACCCUGAUCCAGCAAUACCGCGUGUGUGAAGAAGGCCUUCGGGUUGUAAAGCACUUUAGGCAGGGAAGAAGGUUGUUAUUUUAAGAGAUAGACAACUUGACGGUACCUGCAGAAUAAGCACCGGCUAACUCUGUGCCAGCAGCCGCGGUAAUACAGAGGGUGCAAGCGUUAAUCGGAUUUACUGGGCGUAAAGGGCGCGUAGGUGGUUGUUUAAGUGAACUGUGAAAUCCCCGGGCUCAACCUGGGAACUGCAGUUUAUACUGGGCAGCUGGAGUGCAAUAGAGGGUAGUGGAAUUUCCGGU